AACCUCCGCAAUGUGAGAAAUCGCGACGGGGGGAUCCCAAGUGCCAUUCUUAACGGGAUGGCUUUUCAUUAGUGUAAAGAGCUUUUGGAAUAAGAGCUGGGCAAGACCGGUGCCAGCCGCCGCGGUAACACCGGCAGCUCUAGUGGUAGCAAUUUUUAUUGGGCCUAAAGCGUCCGUAGCCGGUUUAAUAAGUCUCUGGUGAAAUCUUGCAGCUUAACUGUGGGAAUUGCUGGAGAUACUAUUAGACUUGAGACCGGGAGAGAUUAGAGGUACUCCCAGGGUAGAGGUGAAAUUCUGUAAUCCUGGGAGGACCGCCUGUUGCGAAGGCGUCUAACUGGAACGGUUCUGACGGUGAGGGACGAAAGUUAGGGGCGCGAACCGGAUUAGAUACCCGGGUAGUCCUAACUGUAAACGAUGCGGACUUGGUGUUGGGGUGGCUUUGAGCUGCUUCAGUGCCGAAGGGAAGCUGUUAAGUCCGCCGCCUGGGAAGUACGGUCGCAAGACUGAAACUUAAAGGAAUU
rnacentral:rRNA from 1 species